AUUGAACGCUGGCGGCAGGCCUAACACAUGCAAGUCGAGCGAGCGGCGGACGGGUGAGUAAUGUCUGGGAAACUGCCUGAUGGAGGGGGAUAACUACUGGAAACGGUAGCUAAUACAGCAUACCAUCAGAUGUGCCCAGAUGGGAUUAGCUAGUAUGUGGGGUAAUGGCUCACCUAGGCGACGAUCCCUAGAGGGUCUGAGAGGAUGACCAGCCACACGAGAAUUGAGACACGGUCCAGACUCCUACGGUAGGCAGCCGGGGGGAGUAUUGCACGAUGGGCGCAAGCUUGAUGCAGACAUGCCGCGUGUGUGAAGAAGGCCUUCGGGUUGUAAAGCACUUUCAGCUGGGAGGCGGUACCCGCAGAAGAAGCACCGGCUAACUCCGUGCCAGCAGCCGCGGUAAUUC
rnacentral:rRNA from 1 species